GGGUUGUGAGGUUAAGCGACUAAGCGUACACGGUGGAUGCCCUGGCAGUCAGAGGCGAUGAAGGGCGUGCUAAUCUGCGAUAAGCGCCGGUAAGGUGAUAUGAACCGUUAUAACCGGCGAUACCCGAAUGGGGAAACCCAGUGUGAUUCGUCACACUAUCAUUAACUGAAUCCAUAGGUUAAUGAGGCGAACCGGGGGAACUGAAACAUCUAAGUACCCCGAGGAAAAGAAAUCAACCGAGAUUCCCCCAGUAGCGGCGAGCGAACGGGGAGGAGCCCAGAGCCUGAAUCAGCAUGUGUGUUAGUGGAAGCGUCUGGAAAGGCGCGCGAUACAGGGUGACAGCCCCGUACACAAAAGCGCAUGUGCUGUGAGCUCGAUGAGUAGGGCGGGACACGUGGUAUCCUGUCUGAAUAUGGGGGGACCAUCCUCCAAGGCUAAAUACUCCUGACUGACCGAUAGUGAACCAGUACCGUGAGGGAAAGGCGAAAAGAACCCCGGCGAGGGGAGUGAAAAAGAACCUGAAACCGUGUACGUACAAGCAGUGGGAGCACCCUUUGGGUGUGACUGCGUACCUUUUGUAUAAUGGGUCAGCGACUUAU
rnacentral:rRNA from 2 species